rnacentral:rRNA from 1 species
UGAGGAAUAUUGGUCAAUGGGCGUGAGCCUGAACCAGCCAAGUAGCGUGCAGGAAGACGGCCCUAUGGGUUGUAAACUGCUUUUAUGCGGGGAUAAAGGAGUCCACGUGUGGAUUUUUGCAGGUACCGCAUGAAUAAGGACCGGCUAAUUCCGUGCCAGCAGCCGCGGUAAUACGGAAGGUCCGGGCGUUAUCCGGAUUUAUUGGGUUUAAAGGGAGCGUAGGCCGCGUUUUAAGCGUGUUGUGAAAUGUAGACGCCCAACGUCUGCAUCGCAGCGCGAACUGGGACGCUUAAGUACGCGCAACGUUGGCGGAAUUCGUCGUGUAGCGGUGAAAUGCUUAGAUAUGACGAGGAACUCCGAUUGCGAAGGCAGCUGACGGGAGCGGCACUGACGCUUAAGCUCGAAGGUGCGGGUAUCAAACAGG